rnacentral:tRNA from 1 species
GCCUUCGUGAUGCUAUGGUAGCACAUUUGGCCUGUAUUCUAGAGGUCUAGGUUCGACUCCCGGCGAGGGCA